rnacentral:rRNA from 1 species
UACGGAGGGUGCAAGCGUUAUCCGGAUUCACUGGGUUUAAAGGGUGCGUAGGCGGGCAGGUAAGUCCGUGGUGAAAUCUCUGAGCUUAACUCAGAAACUGCCAUGGAUACUAUUUGUCUUGAAUGUUGUGGAGGUAAGCGGAAUAUGUCAUGUAGCGGUGAAAAUGCUUAGAUAUGACAUAGAACACCAAUUGCGAAAGGCAGCUUACUACACAAAUAUUGACGCUGAGGCACGAAAAGCGUGGGGGAUCAAACAGG